UACGAAGGGGGCUAGCGUUGCUCGGAAUCACUGGGCGUAAAGCGCACGUAGGCGGCUUUUUAAGUCAGGGGUGAAAUCCUGGAGCUCAACUCCAGAACUGCCUUUGAUACUGAGAAGCUUGAGUUCGGGAGAGGCGAGUGGAACUGCGAGUGUAGAGGUGAAAUUCGUAGAUAUUCGCAAGAACACCAGUGGCGAAGGCGGCUCACUGGCCCGAUACUGACGCUGAGGUGCGAAAGCGUGGGGAGCAAACAGG
rnacentral:rRNA from 1 species